rnacentral:rRNA from 1 species
GCAAACGGGAUUAGAUACCCUGGUAGUCCACGCUGUAAACGAUGUCGAUUUGGAGGUUGUGCCCUUGAGGCGUGGCUUCCGGAGCUAACGCGUUAAAUCGACCGCCUGGGGAGUACGGCCGCAAGGUUAAAACUCAAAUGAAUUGACGGGGGCCCGCACAAGCGGUGGAGCAUGUGGUUUAAUUCGAUGCAACGCGAAGAACCUUACCUACUCUUGACAUCCAGAGAACUUUCCAGAGAUGGAUUGGUGCCUUCGGGAACUCUGAGACAGGUGCUGCAUGGCUGUCGUCAGCUCGUGUUGUGAAAUGUUGGGUUAAGUCCCGCAACGAGCGCAACCCUUAUCCUUUGUUGCCAGCGGUUCGGCCGGGAACUCAAAGGAGACUGCCAGUGAUAAACUGGAGGAAGGUGGGGAUGACGUCAAGUCAUCAUGGCCCUUACGAGUAGGGCUACACACGUGCUACAAUGGCAUAUACAAAGAGAAGCGACCUCGCGAGAGCAAGCGGACCUCAUAAAGUAUGUCGUAGUCCGGAUUGGAGUCUGCAACUCGACUCCAUGAAGUCGGAAUCGCUAGUAAUCGUAGAUCAGAAUGCUACGGUGAAUACGUUCCCGGGCCUUGUACACACCGCCCGUCACACCAUGGGAGUGGGUUGCAAAAGAAGUAGGUAGCUUAACCUUCGGGAGGGCGCUUACCACUUUGUGAUUCAUGACUGG